AACAAGGCGUACCUGCGGACCUGCGGAGGGAUCAUUACCGAGUUUACAACUCCCAAACCCCUGUGAACAUACCUAUACGUUGCCUCGGCGGAUCAGCCCGCGCCCCGUAAAACGGGACGGCCCGCCCGAGGACCCUAAACUCUGUUUUUAGUGGAACUUCUGAGUAAAACAAACAAAUAAAUCAAAACUUUUAGCAAUGGAUCU
rnacentral:misc_RNA from 1 species